rnacentral:rRNA from 1 species
UAGUCCACGCCGUAAACGAUGAUAACUAGCUGUCCGAACCCACAGGGUUUGGGUGGCGCAGCUAACGCAUUAAGUUAUCCGCCUGGGGAGUACGGUCGCAAGAUUAAAACUCAAAGGAAUUGACGGGGCCUGCACAAGCGGUGGAGCAUGUGGUUUAAUUCGACGCAACGCGCAGAACCUUACCAGCUUUUGACAUCCUGGUCGCGGAUUUGGGAGACCAUUUCCUUCAGUUCGGCUGGACCAGUGACAGGUGCUGCAUGGCUGUCGCCAGCUCGUGCCGUGAGGUGUUGAGUUAAGUCUCGCAACGAGCGCAACCCCUAUCUUUAGUUGCCAGCGGAUUAUGCCGGGGACUCUAAAGAAACUGCCUGUGCAAACAGUGAGGAAGGCGGGGAUGACGUCAAAUCAUCAUGGCCUUUAUGCCUAGGGCUACACACGUGCUACAAUGGCGAGUACAAAGGGUCGCUAACUGGUAACAGUAUGCCAAUCCCAAAAAGCUCGUCUC